rnacentral:lncRNA from 1 species
GCAUGCAUCAUUACAAAAAAACCAAAUAUUAUAAGCAACAAUCAAACAAAAGCACUAAGUAGAAGGUCCUUCAUUGCGUGAUCCUCGGCUUAAUCCUGGAGUUGACAAAAAUGUGAUUGUUUGCAUCUCCGCCGACAGCAGUCAACAAUUGUCCUCCAAAAUAACCCUUUAAAAAACAACCAUCCAAUCCAAUCAUAGGUCUGCAACCUUCCUUGAACCCUCUUUUACUAGCAUCAAAACAUAUAUACAAUCGGUGAAAUAUUGGCGGCCCUUCUUGUUGUGGUAUAGUGCUCAUUUUCACCGUCGAACCUGGAUUCUGGGAUAAUAACUCANNNNNNNNNNGGAUAAUAACUCAUGGCAAUAGUCCCAUAGCUUAGCAUACUGAUCAAUUUCAGAUCCCUCGACAUUUUGUUUUGCUUGUUUAAGUGAUCUAUAAAUCAUACUAUCCUCCGAAUGUAGAUUAUAAUCCUCUUUCAUCAAGUAAUAAGCCUCACUAUGGCUAAGAGACGGUUGUUGUCUCAAUCUCAAUUCCAACUUCUCAAUAACCCACUUUCUAUCAGCCUGACUAUUCGUGAAUGUUCCUGGGCAUGAGUGAGUUGUAUUUUCAAAAGUCUUGAUUUGAAAGCUAUUUG